CCUACGGGAGGCAGCAGUGGGGAAUUUUCCGCAAUGGGCGAAAGCCUGACGGAGCAACGCCGCGUGAGGGAUGAAGGCCUCUGGGCUGUAAACCUCUUUUAUCAAGGAAGAAGAUCUGACGGUACUUGAUGAAUAAGCCACGGCUAAUUCCGUGCCAGCAGCCGCGGUAAUACGGGAGUGGCAAGCGUUAUCCGGAAUUAUUGGGCGUAAAGCGUCCGCAGGCGGUCUUGUAAGUCUGUCGUUAAAGCGUGGAGCUCAACUCCAUUUCGGCGGUGGAAACUACAAGACUAGAGUGUGGUAGGGGCAGAGGGAAUUCCCGGUGUAGCGGUGAAAUGCGUAGAUAUCGGGAAGAACACCAGUGGCGAAGGCGCUCUGCUGGGCCAUAACUGACGCUCAUGGACGAAAGCUAGGGGAGCGAAAGGGAUUAGAUACCCCUGUAGUCCUAGCCGUAAACGAUGAACACUAGGUNUCGGGGGAAUCGACCCCCUCGGUGUCGUAGCUAACGCGUUAAGUGUUCCGCCUGGGGAGUACGCACGCAAGUGUGAAACUCAAAUGAAUUGACGG
rnacentral:rRNA from 1 species